rnacentral:rRNA from 1 species
GAUGAACGCUGGCGGCGUGCCUAAUACAUGCAAGUCGAGCGAACAGAUGAGGAGCUUGCUCCUCUGACGUUAGCGGCGGACGGGUGAGUAACACGUGGAUAACCUACCUAUAAGACUGGGAUAACUUCGGGAAACCGGAGCUAAUACCGGAUAAUAUAUUGAACCGCAUGGUUCAAUAGUGAAAGACGGUUUUGCUGUCACUUAUAGAUGGAUCCGCGCCGAAUUAGCUAGUUGGUAAGGUAACGGCUUACCAAGGCAACGAUGCGUAGCCGACCCGAGAGGGUGAUCGGCCACACUAGGACUAAGACACGGUCCAGACUCCUACGGGAGGCAGCAGUAGGGAAUCUUCCGCAAUGGGCGAAAGCCUGACGGAGCAACGCCGCGUGAGUGAUGAAGGUCUUCGGAUCGUAAAACUCUGUUAUUAGGAAAGAACAAAUGUGUAAGUAGCUAAGCACGUCUUGACGGUACCUAAUCAGAAAGCCACGGCUAACUACGUG